CUCUCCUCUAGACUUAGAGAGAAGAGGAAAAGGCAGAUUUCGAGAAAUGAAAAUUAUUUAAGGAUGUCCCUGCUGCCUCUCUCUGCUGCCCUCCUCUGUAAUACUGAAGAACUUACAAAAAAUAAUACAAAGUAAAUAAAUAAUUAAAGAAGAAGUAGAAGGAAAAAAAAAGGAAAAGGAAACUGUUUUGGCCUGAAGAGCUGCUGAAAAGCAACUGAAGAUCCCUUCCAGGUUCCACGGAAGACAUGCAUAGGCCUCUGGUCUGAGGGAGGCUGCUUGAUGGAGGUCCUUUUUCCUCUGCCCUCACCUGCCAGAAGCCCUCUGCCCAGACUGGCUUGGACACACCUCACCACAGGCUGGCGAAGGACUCAUGUUAUGAGGGCUCCUUUCCUUUUUCUGGGAUUCCUCUGCCAGGAAUGGGAGUGUCAUUGGGUGGCAGGACAAGAGACUUAAAGAAGACAGAGUUGCUAGAUCCAUAGGGAAAUGGAACCUACCCUAUGGGAAGUGCCACUGCCAUGGAGGUGUGACAGUCCCUGCCAUCAUGGGAGGACACAGGUCUGUGGAGCUGGGGUUGCUCAGUCUGGAGAAGAGGAGGAUGAAGGGAGACUUUCUCCUCUCUACUGUUACCUAAAAGCAAGUGGAAGCCAGCUGUACUGUGCAGAGUGCAUCAAAGCAGCUUCACAGUGGGACCCCUCAUUAAGGACCAUAAGCUCAGGAGCUCUUGCAUGCUGCUAGACUUCAUUACUGGAUCUGGUGGACACAAGGCUCAGAGUGGAUGCAGAAGGAGCAAGGGAAGGUAAAAACCAAGGAGAAGCCAAUGCAAACAGUCUGGGAAGGACCC